AGUAUAUGCCAGAGGGAGAAACUCUCUCCCACAGAAACCACUUUUCUCAGCUGCCUGAGGGCUGGAGUUCCCCAGCCCUUUUGCUUUGUUACAAGAUGAUGUAAUCCUUAUUGCCCACCUACCAGCAAGCUUGGCAUGCCCUCACACAACGCAACGCAUCUACCGGAGGCUGUGCAUUGGUGGAACCACUCUGGCGCUUGAUCAGUCAGAGCCAAGUGAGCGAGCUAACUAAUCUGAGCGUACUGGGCUCAUCAGGAAGGAGGGGCUUAAAGACACAGGAGCUCUAACAGAGCGUUUCAGACAGAGGAUACAUUUUCCUCACAUCUCUGACAAAGAAGACCAACACUGAGAAAAAACAGAGGAAGAAGUGAUGGGCUGUGAAUCUGACAGUUCUCUCACUCAUCACGGAUUUAACUCUAAAAGGAGAGAUCGGUAACAUUAGCAGUGUGAUAUCAGUAAUGUUAGUGUUCAGGCAUUAUGGCAUGGACAUAUGCACAUUGAGUUAUCUGUGUCCUGUUUCUUGUGUCCACGUAUGUCCACAUAAAAUGUCCACAGCUUGGCUCUAUUCCAGCUACCAGCACAUCUGAGUCUGGUAUUAAUUGUUUGACAGCUGAUCAUUACCUGGCUCAAGUAUGUUAUGAUUGCUGCUGGGGUUCAGACCUCUGUAUUACUCUGUUGGUCAGUUUUUCUUUUUAGUCCAUAUGAAUUCGUCUUAAAAUUGUUUCCCAUCAUUUAUAAUUGUUCAUAAUACUAUAUUGCUAAUAACUUUAGCCUAACUUAUAUACGGAGCAACAGCAGACCUUAAAAUCAGUGUAUUUAUUGCAGUAUGUUUCAAAUUUCUACCCAAAGUCAGUUAACAUGUUUUUCCCCAUCUGUAGAACAUAUCAAGUGUGAUGACGCUAUUGUACUAUGCAUAUACACAGUUGUAAAAACAAUAAACAAUAACUGUAAUCUAUA